CUACGGGAGGCAGCAGUAAGGAAUAUUGGUCAAUGGAGGGAACUCUGAACCAGCCAUGCCGCGUGAAGGAUGACGGCCCUCUGGGUUGUAAACUUCUUUUGGAUGGGGCGAAAAAACGGGAUUUAUCCUGGACUGACGGUACCAUCAGAAUAAGCACCGGCUAACUCCGUGCCAGCAGCCGCGGUAAU
rnacentral:rRNA from 1 species